rnacentral:misc_RNA from 1 species
GAUGAAGAACGUAGCAAAAUGCGAUACUUGGUGUGAAUUGCAGAAUCCCGUGAACCAUCGAGUUUUUGAACGCAAGUUGCGCCCGAAGCCUUUUGGCCGAGGGCACGUCUGCCUGGGCGUCACGCAUCGCGUCGCCCCCCACAAUUCUCCGUAAAGGGAACAUGUGUUUUGGGGGCGGAUAUUGGUCUCCCGUGCUCAUGGCGUGGUUGGCCGAAAUAGGAGUCCUUUCGAUGGACGCACGAACUAGUGGUGGUCAUAAAAACCCUCGUCUUUUGUUUCGUGCUGUUGCUCGCAAGGUAAACUCUUUAAAAACCCCAAUGUGUCGUCUCUUGACGACGCUUCGACCGCGACCCCAGGUCAGGCGGGACUACCCGCUGAGUUUAAGCAUAUCAAUAAGCGGAGGA